GUUUGUUUUUUGUUAUCCGUGCUGUCCUGGGACUGAACUGCUGAUAUCUUCUUGGAAUUUGGAUCCGUUACCCCGCUAUCCAGUCGUUGUACAUUUUCAACUAACCGUUUCUUUCCCCGGGAGGGCUUCGGCCAUGAGGAUGCUGGCAUUGUCUUUCAGCCUAAAUAUCAUGCAAGUCUUCCAGUUCUGGAGUUUCCAAAGCCUUUGGUAGGUAUGGUGAGAAGGAAAAGGGAUUGGGUCGUUCCUCCCAUCAACUUCCCAGAGAACGACAGAGGCCCUUUCCCCAAGUCUUUGGCGCAGGUGAG
rnacentral:lncRNA from 1 species